rnacentral:lncRNA from 13 species
GGCCUGGUUAGUCUGUUUAAAAUUAGAACCUGAGCUCAUCUCAAGAAGUAUGCUUACCACUUUAGGGCAAAGCAAACAAUGAUUGUACAUAUUUUUCUUUGGUGGCAUCUCAUUUGGCAGUCUUCUGUAGCCU